UAUUUGAUUUUCUUCGGAACUGAAGAUUUGGUGAUUGAGUGGCGGACGGGUGAGUAACGCGUGGGUAACCUACCCUGUACAGGGGGAUAACAGUCAGAAAUGACUGCUAGUACCGCAUAAGACCACAGCACCGCAUGGUGCAGGGGUAAAAACUCCGGUGGUACAGGAUGGACCCGCGUCUGAUUAGCUGGUUGGUGAGGUAACGGCUCACCAAGGCGACGAUCAGUAGCCGGCUUGAGAGAGUGAACGGCCACAUUGGGACUGAGACACGGCCCAAACUCCUACGGGAGGCAGCAGUGGGGAAUAUUGCACAAUGGGGGAAACCCUGAUGCAGCGACGCCGCGUGAGUGAAGAAGUAUCUCGGUAUGUAAAGCUCUAUCAGCAGGGAAGAAAAUGACGGUACCUGACUAAGAAGCCCCGGCUAACUACGUGCCAGCAGCCGCGGUAAUACGUAGGGGGCAAGCGUUAUCCGGAAUUACUGGGUGUAAAGGGUGCGUAGGUGGUAUGGCAAGUCAGAAGUGAAAACCCAGGGCUUAACUCUGGGACUGCUUUUGAAACUGUCAGACUAGAGUGCAGGAGAGGUAAGCGGAAUUCCUAGUGUAGCGGUGAAAUGCGUAGAUAUUAGGAGGAACAUCAGUGGCGAAGGCGGCUUACUGGACUGAA
rnacentral:rRNA from 1 species